rnacentral:rRNA from 1 species
GGGUUGUGAGGUUAAGCGACUAAGCGUACACGGUGGAUGCCCUGGCAGUCAGAGGCGAUGAAGGGCGUGCUAAUCUGCGAUAAGCGCCGGUAAGGUGAUAUGAACCGUUAUAACCGGCGAUACCCGAAUGGGGAAACCCAGUGUGAUUCGUCACACUAUCAUUAACUGAAUCCAUAGGUUAAUGAGGCGAACCGGGGGAACUGAAACAUCUAAGUACCCCGAGGAAAAGAAAUCAACCGAGAUUCCCCCAGUAGCGGCGAGCGAACGGGGAGGAGCCCAGAGCCUGAAUCAGCAUGUGUGUUAGUGGAAGCGUCUGGAAAGGCGCGCGAUACAGGGUGACAGCCCCGUACACAAAAGCGCAUGUGCUGUGAGCUCGAUGAGUAGGGCGGGACACGUGGUAUCCUGUCUGAAUAUGGGGGGACCAUCCUCCAAGGCUAAAUACUCCUGACUGACCGAUAGUGAACCAGUACCGUGAGGGAAAGGCGAAAAGAACCCCGGCGAGGGGAGUGAAAAAGAACCUGAAACCGUGUACGUACAAGCAGUGGGAGCACCCUUUGGGGUGUGACUGCGUACCUUUUGUAUAAUGGGUCAGCGACUUAUAUUCUGUAGCAAGGUUAACCGAAUAGGGGAGCCGGAGGGAAACCGAGUCUUAAUUGGGCGUUAAGUUGCAGGGUAUAGACCCGAAACCCGGUGAUCUAGCCAUGGGCAGGUUGAAGGUUGGGUAACACUAACUGGAGGACCGAACCGACUAAUGUUGAAAAAUUAGCGGAUGACCUGUGGCUGGGGGUGAAAGGCCAAUCAAACCGGGAGAUAGCUGGUUCUCCCCGAAAGCUAUUUAGGUAGCGCCUCGUGAAUUCAUCUCCGGGGGUAGAGCACUGUUUCGGCUAGGGGGUCAUCCCGACUUACCAACCCGAUGCAAACUGCGAAUACCGGAGAAUGUUAUCACGGGAGACACACGGCGGGUGCUAACGUCCGUCGUGAAGAGGGAAACAACCCAGACCGCCAGCUAAGGUCCCAAAGUCAUGGUUAAGUGGGAAACGAUGUGGGAAGGCCCAGACAGCCAGGAUGUUGGCUUAGAAGCAGCCAUCAUUUAAAGAAAGCGUAAUAGCUCACUGGUCGAGUCGGCCUGCGCGGAAGAUGUAACGGGGCUAAACCAUGCACCGAAGCUGCGGCAGCGACACUCAGGUGU